GGGGAAUUUUCCGCAAUGGGCGAAAGCCUGACGGAGCAACGCCGCGUGAGGGACGAAGGCCUCUGGGCUGUAAACCUCUUUUCUCAAGGAAGAAGAUCUGACGGUACUUGAGGAAUAAGCCACGGCUAAUUCCGUGCCAGCAGCCGCGGUAAUACGGGAGUGGCAAGCGUUAUCCGGAAUUAUUGGGCGUAAAGCGUCCGCAGGCGGUCUUGUAAGUCUGUCGUUAAAGCGUGGAGCUUAACUCCAUUUAAGCGAUGGAAACUGCAAGACUAGAGUGUGGUAGGGGCAGAGGGAAUUCCCGGUGUAGCGGUGAAAUGCGUAGAUAUCGGGAAGAACACCAGUGGCGAAGGCGCUCUGCUGGGCCAUAACUGACGCUCAUGGACGAAAGCCAGGGGAGCGAAUGGGAUUAGAUACCCCUGUAGUC
rnacentral:rRNA from 1 species